AAGUCGUAACAAGGUUUCCGUAGGUGAACCUGCGGAAGGAUCAUUAACACAUCCUUUAAACAAUAUAAACGUUGGUGUACCAAAAAGAACCCACUCAGCAGAGGUCGAUCAUGCUAUGGUUUGAAGUCUAUAAAGGCUUGGCUGGUCGGCUGGCAAACCGCCUGCUUUUUCUAUUAUGAGAGAGCUUGGUGAGUAGCAACUUUGACUGUUUUAGGGUAUACAGCCUCUUACCAUGGCUGGCAUUUUUUUUUAACUAUGUACUAUGCACUUAUAUGAGUUCAGAUCGAGAAGGGCAACCUUUUCUUUGGGCUCAGGGUCAAUGGUUUAUUCCAUUGAUUUUAACAAAACACAACUCUUAACAGCGGAUAUCUCGGUUCUC
rnacentral:misc_RNA from 1 species